CAGAAACUUAAAGGAAGUUGACGGGGGCCGCACAAGCGGUGGAGCAUGUGGUUUAAUUCGAUGGUACGCGAGGAACCUUACCAGGGCUUGACAUACGUUGGAAGCGCAUCGAAAGGUGCGUGCCGCUUGCGGCCGGCGUACAGGUGCUGCAUGGCUGUCGUCAGCUCGUGCUGUGAAGUGUUGGGUUAAGUCCCGUAACGAGCGCAACCCUUGUCCUUAGUUACCAGCACGUUAUGGUGGGCACUCUAAGGAGACUGCCGGUGACAAACCGGAGGAAGGUGGGGAUGACGUCAAGUCAUCAUGGCCCUUACGGCCUGGGCUACACACGUGCUACAAUGGUCGGUACAAAGGGUUGCCAAGCCGCGAGGUGGAGCUAAUCCCAUAAAACCGAUCGUAGUCCGGAUCGCAGUCUGCAACUCGACUGCGUGAAGUCGGAAUCGCUAGUAAUCGUGAAUCAGAAUGUCACGGUGAAUACGUUCCCGGGCCUU
rnacentral:rRNA from 1 species